UACGUAGGGUGCAAGCGUUGUCCGGAAUUAUUGGGCGUAAAGAGCUCGUAGGCGGUCUGUCGCGUCUGCUGUGAAAACUCAGGGCUUAACCCUGAGCUUGCGGUCGGAUACGGGGCAUGACGUGGAGUUCGGGCAGGGGAGACUGGAAUUCCUGGUGUAGCGGUGAAAUGCGGCAGACUAUCAGGAGGGAACACCGGUGGGCGAAAGGCGGGGUC
rnacentral:rRNA from 1 species